CAGUAGCAGCAUCUGUCCCCUAAGUCACGUCUGCUGCCCGACCUCGCCUCCUGCGGUGCCAUUGCCAUGACCUUGGAUGCCUAUGGGGGUCAGAAGAGGAGCCUUGGAUCCCUGAAUCUGGAGUGGCAGCAUUCCUUUGCCGACUUUAGACCAACUUCUUCAGACUUCCUAUGUAGACGGAAGACCAGCAGCUCUCCAGAAUCCCUCGGGCCUUCUGCACCAUGCUGGGACUGCUGAGCCAUCCAGCCUCGUGGACUGAAACACUCUAGGAUUCGCAGCCUCUCCAGAGUGAGGCAGCCACUGUUGGACUAUCUGGACCAUAUGGUGCAUGUCAAUCUAAUAAAUCAUUCCAUAAGUUUUGCUCCUUU